rnacentral:tRNA from 1 species
AAUAAAGUGCCUGAUAAAAGGAUUACUUUGAUAGAGUAAAUAAUGUGCAGUAUAUUCCACCUUUAUUA